rnacentral:rRNA from 1 species
GGACAACCUACCCUCAGGCCGGGUAUAACCCCGGGAAACUGGGUGUAAUCCCCGAUAGAUCUCGGACGCUGGAAUGCGCCGAGGUCGAAAGCUCCGGCACCUGAGGAUGGGUCUGCGGCCUAUCAGGUAGUAGUGGGUGUAGCGUACCUACUAGCCUACGACGGGUACGGGUUGUGAGAGCAAGAGCCCGGAGAUGGAUUCUGAGACACGAAUCCAGGCCCUACGGGGUGCAGCAGGCGCGAAAACUUUACAAUGCCGGCAACGGCGAUAAGGGGACCUCGAGUGCCAGGUUACAAAUCUGGCUGUCGUUGUGUCUAAAAAACACGAUAUAGCAAGGGCCGGGCAAGACCGGUGCCAGCCGCCGCGGUAACACCGGCGGCUCGAGUGGUAACCGUUAUUAUUGGGUCUAAAGGGUCUGUAGCCGGCCGGAUAAGUCUCUUGGGAAAUCCAGCAGCUCAACUGUUGGGCUUCCAGGGGAUACUGUCUGGCUCGAGGCCGGGAGAGGUGAGAGGUACUUCAGGGGUAGGGGUGAAAUCUUGUAAUCCUUGAAGGACCACCAGUGGCGAAGGCGUCUCACCAGAACGGACCUGACGGCAAGGGACGAAAGCUAGGGGCACGAACCGGAUUAGAUACCCGGGUAGUCCUAGCCGUAAACGAUACUCGCUAGGUGUCGGCCACGGUGCGACCGUGGUCGGUGCCGUAGGGAAGCCGUGAAGCGAGUCACCUGGGAAGUACGGCCGCAAGGCUGAAACUUAA